GUUGCAAAUUCGUGAAGAAUCAGCAGCAUGUUUGGCAGCUGAGUAUUGGAGCAAGGAGCCUGCUACGAGGUUAUAUUCCCAGAGGAUGUCAAUCCCAAGGACCAGUAGCUGCCGUCAGUUUGGAUUAUGAAAACUUUAACCGGCAUCAACAUUGGGUGUAGAAACAUGCUUGCUUUGUGUAUCAGAGGACAUGCUCAGCAGAUCCAAGAGAUAUAUUUGGCAACUUUUUCUAGAAAAGGCACAUUGGGUAUCAUUCAUUACAUUCUUGAGUUUUUUUGGGUUUUUUUUUUUUUUUUUUGAGACAGUCUUGCUGUGUUGCCCAGGCUGGAAUGUGGUGGCACAAUCACAGCUCAUUGCAGCCUCAAUCACCCAGGCCUAAGCAAUCCUCCUGCCUUGUAGCUGGGACUACAGCUCACAGCACACCUGGCUAAAAUUUUUUGUUGUUGUUGAGAUGGAUUCACUGUUGCCCAGGCUGGUCUCAAGCUCCUGGGCUCAGAUGGUCCUCCUGCCUCAGCUUCCAAAGGCACAGGCCAUGUUGUAGCUUUGUCCCUUGCCAUCCUGCCCAACAGGAGGUGCUGUACCUUUUAAUGAAUUGACUUUAAUAAAUUGGUUAUGUUGGUGGGCAAGUUCUUUAAGCUGGAAAUUGUAAAUUCUUCCUGAAAUGUUUUUUCAUGCAGUUACCAUGAACUAAUACUACAAUAAAGGAUGGUCUUGGGUAUCGAUUCUUAAAAAAAAAAAAAAAAAAA